GGCUCCGUCCUCAACCUCAGCUGUCGAUAAGCCUUGUCCGGGCUCCUACGGGAGCCGGACUUUGCAUCUGAUUUUGAUUGCAGGGGAUUCCACCCGGACUCCCAUGGGAGCCGGGCUCCACCCACGACCCCAACCGCAAGGAGGACUCUGCUCGGACCCCUACGGGGGCCAGACUCCGACUGCUGCCGAACUUCAGCCAGC
rnacentral:lncRNA from 1 species